UGCAUUCAUUACAAAUCGUGUCCACAGCCCGCUUCCCAGCUUCCAACUUCCACCUCCAGGGGAGGACUGGGGGCUGGAGAUUGCAUUAAUUUCCAAUGGCCAGUGGUUUAAUCAAUCAUGACUAAGUAAUGAGCCUCCGUAAAAACCAGAGCUUCCGGUCUGGUGAACACACGGAGGUCCUGGAAAUGGUGGCGCGCCCAGAGGGCAUGGAAGCUCCGCGCCCCUUCCCACAGACCUUGUCCCGUGCAUCGCUUCCAUCCGGCUCUUCCUGAGUUCUGGCCCUUGUAGUAAACCUGCAGUCUUGGAUCAAUUUUCUCUCAGGAGGCUCUUCAUUGACUCAUGCAAACAGAUUUCUGGCGGGAACUGCUCCAAGGCCUUCCAGAUGUGCACAGGCAUGGAUGAAUCAGAGCAGAAGUGGACAGAUGUAGCUCAAAUGGAGGGUUCUGCUAUGAAUCUCAAUAAGUAUCCAGGCUGGAGUGCAGUGGCGCGAUCUCGGCUCACUGAAACCUCUGCCUCCCAGGUUCAAGCGAUUCUCCUGCCUCAGCCUCUCGAAUAGCUGGGAUUACAGGGCAACUACCAUUUUUCCCCCUCUGUCUUUUGAUGUUCACCUGACAAGCUCCUGGUGGUAGCCGGUAGCUCUGACAGAGAGCAAAAGAAAUAAGGGGGCGGUUUUAGCUGAUAACCUCACCAGUCUUCACUUCGGCUCUUCCUUCGCUGCCCCUUCAGCUGCGGGGAACUUGCUCUAGGGCAUCUUGGCAGGAGGGAGGGCGUCUGAGGGUACUGGUGCCUGCAGACUUCAAGCACGGAGAGACUUCUUGAAGCGGUGCUGCCUGGCCACUUGGAAAAAGGGUGGAUUAAUUUGGGGAUAUCCGAGGAGCCCCAGAGGGCCAUUGUAAUUCAAGAUCUUCAGUAAACUUCUGCCGCGGAGAAAGAACCCGGCCAGUAUUGGGACCAUCGUGGUGACGCAGGAUUGGAGGAACAGGGGUUUCGGUUGACUGAGAAGUUCCUGUGAGAGAAACAGGCUCAAAUAGAGAGAAUAGAAAGAUGUCGUGAGGAGCCAGGAAACAAAAUUUUCCAGGGGUCAGGGAAUGAAUUCUAAUCAGAACAAGGAGCCAGCAAGAACUUCCAGCCUAGGAGGUACUUUUCAAAAGAAGCCUGGGACUCUAACCCAGCUUCUGAGAGUAUACUCAGAAUUGUUAAGAAUCAGGCAGGGCGCGGCGGCUCAUGCCUGUAAUCCCAGCACUUUGGGAGGCUGAGGCGGGUGGAUCACUUGAGGUCCGGAGUGUGAGAUCAGCCUGACUAACAAGAUGAAACCCCAUCUCUACUAAAAAAAUACAAAAUUAGCUGGGCGUCGUAGCGCAUGCCUGUAAUCCCAGCUACUUGGGAGGCUGAGGCAGGAGAAUUGCUUGAACCCAGGAGGUGGAGGUUGCAGUGAGCCAAGAUCGCGCCCUUGCACUCCAGCCUGGGCAACAAGAGUGAAACUCUGCCUCGGAGGGAAAAAAAAAAAAAAAGAAUUGAAAGAAUGAAAACCUGUCCUCAAUGUGCCUGAAUAAAUGCUUGUUCAGACACUGGAUGUGAAGUCCGAUUCUCCACUGGAUACCCAAACUGCAGGAGGUAGGUGGUUCCCAUCUGGACCCGAGUUGCCUACCAGACCAUUGUCAGAAACACAGCUGGACGUGAGUUAAAGUGGUGAAAAAACAGAUUUUAUUCAGUAACUACUGAAAGUAGGGAAGGAGCUGAGCUUAUUCCGAUUUCGGCAGAGGUGAUUUGGGUGUUUUAAAGAAAGAAUGAGGGAGACGGGAAUAAAGGAGCUCCGAAGUGUCGGGGAAGUGAAAAAGUGCAAAGGGGAGCUUCCGGAUAGCGAAGCACGUGGAGGUUCCUGGAGGGUGUCCUCCCAGAGAGGACGUGGAACCUUCCCGCUCCCACCGCGCACUUGCCCUGUGUAUCUCUUCCCUUUGGCUGUUCAUCUACAUACGUGGUAGUUUCCUUUAUAGUAAACUAAUAAACGGAAAUUUGCAGCAGCUGUGAAAAACUUCAAUUUUCUGAAUCCACUUUUGAUUUUUAGUGGCGAUUGCUUAAAUGCCUCAGUUUUAAGUAUCAUAACGAAAGGAAAGCAUACGAUUCCUAUAUUAAUGAAUCGGAAGUACCUUUUGCAGUUUUUGUUUUGCUUUUUCAGACAAGGUCUUAUUCUGUCAUCCAGGCUGGAGUGCAUUGGUGGGAACACAGCUCACUACCUACUCAGCCUCCUGAGCUCAAGCGAUCCUCCCACCUCAGCCUCUCAAGUGGCUAGGACCACAGGCACCCACGCACUACACCGCCUAACUAAUGUUUUGUUUUAUAUUAUAUUAUUUUAUUUUAUAGAGACAGAGGUCUCACCAUGUCGACCAGGCUAGUUUUGAACUCCUGGCCUCAAGCAAUCCUCCUCCCACCUCAGCCUCCCAAAGUGCUAAAAUGAUAGGUGUGAGCCACUGCACCCGGUGAUUUUGCAGUUUUUGGAAACCACAAGUUUGAUUUCGGUGUGAAUAUUUUGGAAGAAUCUAUGAAACAAAUGCACUUCAUCUGAUUUCUCAGUAAUGUUGAUGAUAGAUUUACUUCUGAACCUCUUGGACGUGUGUAUGUUAGAAGUUCUCCACCCAAUUGAUACGGAAUUAAAUAGCUGUGAAAUUACUGUAAGAAGAACCGAAGCAACGUUGGAAAUUUGGUAACUAAUGCCACGUUGGAAGCUAUUCAUGCCAAUGUAGCAUUGCUUCAUACAGGUACUUCCAGAUCUAAUUGAAUACAUCCAGUGGGAAAUUUCGCUUUGCGUGAUUUUUUGGCUAUCCUUCUCAUAAUGGACCCCAGUUUUAGUUGUCAGAGUAACACAGGCACAGCUGCUUGAAGGUCUUGAAAAUGAGGUUAACAAAUAUUCAGCUUUUGGUGGGAGUUUUUCUCAAGUUGUUGGAAUAGAAUUUGGACUCAAUUCAGAUGCGGAACUGGGACACUGAAUGAUAGAUAACAGAUACUGUGAAAGUUCAAGGACCAUACGAAAAAAAUUUACCUUCUUGCUGCUAUAAACAAUAUAUUGCACAUGGGAAAGAUAGUUACGUUAUGCCUGAUAGUUGUUCUUGAAUGUUUGACACAGAAACUGUACAAGUACCUUCCACAGUCAUCAUGAAUCACUUUUAAUCGAUAAAAAUUUUGUAGGGAAGGAAGCAGUGUCUUUCAGGCCAUUGAAUGAAUUUGAUUACUACUACGAACAAAUCAUCAUUAUUAACAGCCUUCGAGGAAGAAUCAGAUAAGCCAUCAGCAGUAAUUGCAGUACCUGGCAUAGAAGGGUGAAUUUGCCAUAUUUCUCAGCACAUGAAAGAACAUUUGUACCAACUUAGAGCCGGAGGGGAACAAGGUUUAAGAACUUUUCCCGUUAUUAGUGGUAAUGCAUCUGAAAAUUUUGAUUCUGAUUGAAAUACUAUAUGGGUAAUAUAUAAUCAAUGCCCAACUGAAUGGAGAAAACCUACACUUUUUGCAUUGUUAAGCACAGUAAUAUAAUUUUGGCUCUUUGGCAUUGUUCUAGAAUUAAUUUUAAUUCUAGGGAUAUUGCUCUAAAUGUGCUUCUUAUCACUUUUGACUCUUCAGUGUGUUAUCCAGGAAACAAUAUAUAUACACUUGUGAACUGUUGUUUGUGAUUUAAGCAUAUAUAUUGAAUAAUGUUUCCAGAUUAAAUGACUUCCAAGCUCC
rnacentral:lncRNA from 1 species